GCAUUCAAGAAUCUGAAAGAGAACACAUCUCUUGUGUCUCUCUCCAUGAUGGAAGCUCUGUAGCCAGUCCAAACCUGGUGCAGAAGCCUGACCUGCUAGCAGCCGCCCUGCAACCUCCCAUGUACAAGGAGCACAUGACAAGCCUGACAUUUAUUUUGAAUACAAGCAACAUUUCAAGCUUGUGAAUCCAUUUGGAGAAUCCAACUUCAUCUUCCAUUGGAAUCUUGAUAUAUCACAUUCCUACAGCUACAGAGAAAAUAAAUGAUGCCCCCAAAGAAACCUUCAGGAGCUCAGUAUGGGAAGCAAAAGGCUCAAUUGAAAUCUAGUUUGCAGCAAGGGACAAAUUUGAUCGGAAAAUAUUAACAUAGACUGGGCUUUAGCAAUCGUCCCAGUACAGGGGAAAUCGAGCGAAGAGUAAAUGCUGGAAGUCCUAUUACUAAAGGAAUUAGCAGAUUACCUGAAGAUAAGGAAUGAAAGUGUGAGGAAAGCGAUGGAGAAUCGGCCAGUGUUCCUGGCAGCAUAAAGAAGAGUGAUGAUAUGGCCGGCGAUCCUAAACUCUGCCAAUAUUGAUUGUACAAUUUUUGAACGGUCCGGGCAAAAUUAAGGAUAUAAUUGUGGCAUUAUGCCACAUAUUCUUCAUAGUCAUAUUAUUAUGAUAUGAGUAUGGCAUAAUUACGAUGUAUUUUGUGCAAGAUAAGACAUGAGAUAUCAUUGGAAAGGUUGUCAAGUAUCAGAGGGGUAGCCGUGUUAGUCUGAAUCUGUAAAAAGCAACAGAGGGUCCUGUGGCACCUUUAAGACUAACAGUCUUAAAGGUGCCACAGGACCCUCUGUUGC